AUGAACCCUUCCUCGGCUCCCGGCCCGGAUGGCCUCCCAGUGAAGUUCUUCCAGACCUUCUGGGAGGUGAUCAAACCUGAGGUGAUGGCCGAUGAGUUCCUGGUUGGGUCCAUUAACCUCGCCCGACUAAACUAUGGGGUAAUCACUCUCAUCCCUAAAGUGACGGGAGCUUCAGACAUCCAUCAAUUUCGACUGAUUACGGUGAUUAAUGUCAUCUUCCGCAUCCUCGCGAAGGGGUACGCCAUUAGGGUGGCUCCUAUUGCCGACCAGAUCACUCACCCUAACCAGUCGGCCUUCAUCCAGGGCCGCUAUUUCCUUGAUGGAGUCUUGGUGUUCCACGAAGCUCUCCAUGAGGUGCACGCCAAACACCUAAAGGCAGUUUCCUGAAACUGGAUAUCCAAAAGGCCUAUGACACGGUCAGCUAGACCUUCCUUCGGGAAUGUCUGCUCCGGAAGGGCUUCGACGAUAGGUGGGUGA
rnacentral:rRNA from 1 species